GGCUGGCGGCGUGCUAUACAUGCAAGUCGAGCGAACAGACGAGGAGCUUGCUCCUCUGACGUUAGCGGCGGACGGGUGAGUAACACGUGGAUAACCUACCUAUAAGACUGGGAUAACUUCGGGAAACCGGAGCUAAUACCGGAUAAUAUAUUGAACCGCAUGGUUCAAUAGUGAAAGACGGUUUUGCUGUCACUUAUAGAUGGAUCCGCGCCGCAUUAGCUAGUUGGUAAGGUAACGGCUUACCAAGGCAACGAUGCGUAGCCGACCUGAGAGGGUGAUCGGCCACACUGGAACUGAGACACGGUCCAGACUCCUACGGGAGGCAGCAGUAGGGAAUCUUCCGCAAUGGGCGAAAGCCUGACGGAGCAACGCCGCGUGAGUGAUGAAGGUCUUCGGAUCGUAAAACUCUGUUAUUAGGGAAGAACAAAUGUGUAAGUAACUAUGCACGUCUUGACGGUACCUAAUCAGAAAGCCACGGCUAACUACGUGCCAGCAGCCGCGGUAAUACGUAGGUGGCAAGCGUUAUCCGGAAUUAUUGGGCGUAAAGCGCGCGUAGGCGGUUUUUUAAGUCUGAUGUGAAAGCCCACGGCUCAACCGUGGAGGGUCAUUGGAAACUGGAAAACUUGAGUGCAGAAGAGGAAAGUGGAAUUCCAUGUGUAGCGGUGAAAUGCGCAGAGAUAUGGAGGAACACCAGUGGCGAAGGCGACUUUCUGGUCUGUAACUGACGCUGAUGUGCGAAAGCGUGGGGAUCAAACAGGAUUAGAUACCCUGGUAGUCCACGCCGUAAACGAUGAGUGCUAAGUGUUAGGGGGUUUCCGCCCCUUAGUGCUGCAGCUAACGCAUUAAGCACUCCGCCUGGGGAGUACGACCGCAAGGUUGAAACUCAAAGGAAUUGACGGGGACCCGCACAAGCGGUGGAGCAUGUGGUUUAAUUCGAAGCAACGCGAAGAACCUUACCAAAUCUUGACAUCCUCUGACCCCUCUAGAGAUAGAGUUUUCCCCUUCGGGGGACAGAGUGACAGGUGGUGCAUGGUUGUCGUCAGCUCGUGUCGUGAGAUGUUGGGUUAAGUCCCGCAACGAGCGCAACCCUUAAGCUUAGUUGCCAUCAUUAAGUUGGGCACUCUAAGUUGACUGCCGGUGACAAACCGGAGGAAGGUGGGGAUGACGUCAAAUCAUCAUGCCCCUUAUGAUUUGGGCUACACACGUGC
rnacentral:rRNA from 1 species